rnacentral:lncRNA from 1 species
CAUGCUUGAUUAAAUUCUGAUCAAGGAGGUUCUGGAAAGUAGAAGCCUCCUGUGAUACCGCACACAGGUGACAGGAGAGGUUAAAUCGUCCCCACCUGGCAGAGCACCCACUAGAGGCAAACUAGAGAGCUUACGGUCAAGGUUUUAUGAAGCUGAGAGGUGGGUGACAGUGAGUGCUACCACCUCUGUGUGUAUGUGGCAGAUCGUAUUUUGGCCAGGAACAAGCAGCUUCUCCUGCAAUGCAAUGCACCCAUUCCAUUAGUAGCAAUAUGGGAGACUGAAAGAAUUCAGUUUGCACCUCAGCCCAGCUGGAGAAGAAAACACCGGCAUUUCUGCAGGAGCAACCACUGUGAAAGUAAGCUGGGACUUCAAAAAAUUUUUUUUCUGUGCGAUACUUUUCAGAGCAGAGAACAAGUGCAAGCCUUCCACUGUCUUUUAUUUUUAUGCCAAGAAUACAGAGACCCUCAAGUGCCUGAUUUCUGGCAACUAGUACAUGUGUGGGCG